rnacentral:rRNA from 1 species
CACGUAGGGGGCAAGCGUUGUCCGGAUUUAUUGGGCGUAAAGAGCUCGUAGGCGGUUCGCUAAGUCGGGUGUGAAACCUCCAGGCUCAACCUGGAGACGCCACCUGAUACGUGGUGUGACUCGAGUCCGGUAGGGGAGCGUGGAAUUCCUGGUGUAGCGGUGAAAUGCGCAGAUAUCAGGAGGAACACCGGUGGCGAAGGCGGGUCUCUGGGCCGUAACUGACGCUGAGGAGCGAAAGCGUGGGGAGCGAACAGG